GAGUUUGAUCAUGGCUCAGAUUGAACGCUGGCGGCAUGCCUUACACAUGCAAGUCGAACGGCAGCACGGGAGCAAUCCUGGUGGCGAGUGGCGAACGGGUGAGUAAUAUAUCGGAACGUGUCCAUGAGUGGGGGAUAGCCCGGCGAAAGCCGGAUUAAUACCGCAUAAGACCUGAGGGUGAAAGCGGGGGAUCUUCGGACCUCGCGCUGAUGGAGCGGCCGAUAUCAGAUUAGGUAGUUGGUGAGGUAAAGGCUCGCCAAGCCUGCGACCUGUAGCUGGUCUGAGAGGAUGGCCAGCCACACUGGGACUG
rnacentral:rRNA from 1 species